rnacentral:rRNA from 1 species
UGGAUCCAGACUUUGAUUCUGGCUCAGGAUGAACGCUAGCUACAGGCUUAACACAUGCAAGUCGAGGGGAAACGACAUCGAAAGCUUGCUUUUGAUGGGCGUCGACCGGCGCACGGGUGAGUAACGCGUAUCCAACCUGCCCACCACUUGGGGAUAACCUUGCGAAAGUAAGACUAAUACCCAAUGAUAUCCCACGAAGGCAUCCGAAUGGGAUUAAAGAUUUAUCGGUGAUGGAUGGGGAUGCGUCUGAUUAGCUUGUUGGCGGGGUAACGGCCCACCAAGGCUACGAUCAGUAGGGGUUCUGAGAGGAAGGUCCCCCACAUUGGAACUGAGACACGGUCCAAACUCCUACGGGAGGCAGCAGUGAGGAAUAUUGGUCAAUGGGCGAGAGCCUGAACCAGCCAAGUAGCGUGCAGGACGACGGCCCUAUGGGUUGUAAACUGCUUUUAUAAGGGAAUAAAGUGAGUCUCGUGAGACUUUUUGCAUGUACCUUAUGAAUAAGGACCGGCUAAUUCCGUGCCAGCAGCCGCGGUAAUACGGAAGGUCCGGGCGUUAUCCGGAUUUAUUGGGUUUAAAGGGAGCGUAGGCCGGGGAUUAAGCGUGUUGUGAAAUGUAGUGGCUCAACCUCUGCACUGCAGCGCGAACUGGUCUUCUUGAGUACGCACAACGUGGGCGGAAUUCGUGGUGUAGCGGUGAAAUGCUUAGAUAUCACGAAGAACUCCGAUUGCGAAGGCAGCUCACGGGAGCGCAACUGACGCUGAAGCUCGAAAGUGCGGGUAUCGAACAGGAUUAGAUACCCUGGUAGUCCGCACGGUAAACGAUGGAUGCCCGCUGUUGGCCUGAAUAGGUCAGCGGCCAAGCGAAAGCAUUAAGCAUCCCACCUGGGGAGCACGCCGGCAACGGUGCAACUCAAAUGAAUUGACGGA